CCUACGGGAGGCAGCAGUGGGGAAUAUUGGACAAUGGGCGAAAGCCUGAUCCAGCAAUGCCGCGUGAGUGAUGAAGGCCUUCGGGUCGUAAAGCUCUUUUACCAGGGAUGAUAAUGACAGUACCUGGAGAAUAAGCUCCGGCUAACUCCGUGCCAGCAGCCGCGGUAAUACGGAGGGAGCUAGCGUUGUUCGGAAUUACUGGGCGUAAAGAGUACGUAGGCGGUUAUUCAAGUCAGAGGUGAAAGCCCGGGGCUCAACCCCGGGAACUGCCUUUGAAACUAGAUAACUAGAGUCUUGGAGAGGUUAGUGGAAUUCCGAGUGUAGAGGUGAAAUUCGUAGAUAUUCGGAAGAACACCAGUGGCGAAGGCGACUAACUGGACAAGUACUGACGCUGAGGUACGAAAGCGUGGGGAGCAAACAGGAUUAGAUACCCUGGUAGUCCACGCCGUAAACGNUGAUAACUAGUUGUUCGUCACUUGGUGACUGAGUGACGCGAGCUACGACAUUAAGUUAUCCGUCCGUCGGGUAGGUACGGUCGCGAGAUUAAACUACAAGAGUAGUAGACGCGAGAGACGCGACGACGACGACGACGGAGGAGG
rnacentral:rRNA from 1 species